rnacentral:miRNA from 1 species
UCUGCAAGGCAAAGUGCUGUCGC